CGUAGGGUGCAAGCGUUAAUCGGAAUUACUGGGCGUAAAGCGUGUGCAGGCGGUCUUGCAAGACAGGUGUGAAAUCCCCGGGCUUAACCUGGGAACUGCACUUGUGACUGCAAGGCUGGAGUACGGCAGAGGGGGAUGGAAUUCCGCGUGUAGCAGUGAAAUGCGUAGAUAUGCGGAGGAACACCGAUGGCGAAGGCAAUCCCCUGGGCCUGUACUGACGCUCAUGCACGAAAGCGUGGGGAGCAAACAGGAUUAGAUACCCUGGUAGUCCACGCCCUAAACGAUGUCAACUGGUUGUUGGACGGCUUGCUGUUCAGUAACGUAGCUAACGCGUGAAGUUGACCGCCUGGGGAGUACGGCCGCAAGGUUG
rnacentral:rRNA from 1 species